GCCUGGGUGGCGGAAUUGGUAGACGCGCAGGUCUCAAAAACCUGUGAAGAUAACACUUCAUGUGGGUUCGAGUCCCACCCUAGGCA
rnacentral:tRNA from 1 species